rnacentral:rRNA from 1 species
AGAGUUUGAUCCUGGCUCAGGAUGAACGCUGGCGGCGUGCCKAAUACAUGCAAGUCGAGCGAACGGACGAGAAGCUUGCUUCUCUGAUGUUAGCGGCGGACGGGUGAGUAACACGUGGAUAACCUACCUAUAAGACUGGGAUAACUUCGGGAAACCGGAGCWAAUACCGGAUAAUAUUUUGAACCGCAUGGUUCAAAAGUGAAAGACGGUCUUGCUGUCACUUAUAGAUGGAUCCGCGCUGCAUUAGCUAGUUGGUAAGGUAACGGCUUACCAAGGCAACGAURCRUAGCCGACCUGAGAGGGUGAUCGGCCACACUGGAACUGAGACACGGUCCAGACUCCUACGGGAGGCAGCAGUAGGGAAUCUUCCGCAAUGGGCGAAAGCCUGACGGAGCAACGCCGCGUGAGUGAUGAAGGUCUUCGGAUCGUAAAACUCUGUUAUUAGGGAAGAACAWAUGUGUAAGUAACUGUGCACRUCUUGACGGUACCUAAUCAGAAAGCCACGGCUAACUACGUGCCAGCAGCCGCGGUAAUACGUAGGUGGCAAGCGUUAUCCGGAAUUAUUGGGCGUAAAGCGCGCGUAGGCGGUUUUUUAAGUCUGAUGUGAAAGCCCACGGCUCAACCGUGGAGGGUCAUUGGAAACUGGAAAACUUGAGUGCAGAAGAGGAAAGUGGAAUUCCAUGUGUAGCGGUGAAAUGCGCAGAGAUAUGGAGGAACACCAGUGGCGAAGGCGACUUUCUGGUCUGUAACUGACGCUGAUGUGCGAAAGCGUGGGGAUCAAACAGGAUUAGAUACCCUGGUAGUCCACGCCGUAAACGAUGAGUGCUAAGUGUUAGGGGGUUUCCGCCCCUUAGUGCUGCAGCUAACGCAUUAAGCACUCCGCCUGGGGAGUACGACCGCAAGGUUGAAACUCAAAGGAAUUGACGGGGACCCGCWCAAGCGGUGGAGCAUGUGGUUUAAUYCGAAGCAACGCGAAGAACCUUACCAARUCUUGACAUCCUUUGACAACUCUAGASAUAGAGCCUUCCCCUUCGGGGGACAAAGUGACAGGUGGUGCMUGGUUGUCGUCAGCUCGUGUCGUGAGAUGUUGGGUUAAGUCCCGCAACGAGCGCAACCCUUAAGCUUAGUUGCCAUCAUUAAGUUGGGCACUCUAAGUUGACUGCCGGUGACAAACCGGAGGAAGGUGGGGAUGACGGCAAAUCAUCAUGCCCCUUAUGAUUUGGGCUACACACGUGCUACAAUGGACAAUACAAAGGGCAGCGAAACCGCGAGGUCAAGCAAAUCCCAUAAAGUU